rnacentral:rRNA from 1 species
AGAGGGUGCGAGCGUUAAUCGGAAUUACUGGGCGUAAAGAGUGCGUAGGUGGAUUAUCAAGUUGACUGUGAAAUUUCUGGGGCUUAACCUGGACAGGUCAGCCAAUACUGGUAGUCUAGAGUGCAGUAGAGGGUAGUGGAAUUUCCGGUGUAGCGGUGAAAUGCGUAGAGAUCGGAAGGAACACCAGUGGCGAAGGCGACUACCUGGACUGACACUGACACUGAGGCACGAAAGCGUGGGGAGCAAACAGGAUUAGAUACCCUGGUAGUCCACGCCGUAAACGAUGACAACUAACUGUUAGAAGCAUUUAGCUUUUAGUAGUGUAGCUAACGCGCUAAGUUGUCCGCCUGGGGAGUACGGCCGCAAGGCUA